rnacentral:sRNA from 1 species
UAAAAUUAAUCUAAAUAUUCCAUAUAGACUUAAUUUUAAUACAAUACCCGCUAAAACAAUACUACCACCUAAAGGUGAUUCAACAUGAGCUUUUAAUAAUCAACUAUUUAAAAAAAUAGUAGGAGUUUUUACUGCAAAAGCAAUAAAUAUACCACAGAAUAAGAAAAAUUGUGUAUUAUAAUCAAAAUUAGUUUUAAAUAAAGCACCAAAAUCUGUUGUACCCAUUAUAGAUGACAUCGCUAAUAUAGAUAAUAAUAAGAAUAAAGACCCAAAUAAUGUAUAUAAGAAUAUAUAAAAACUAGCUCUUACUUUAUUAUUAGAUCCAAAUAAACCUAUCAAUAUAAAUAAUGGUGGUAAUAUACUUUCAAAGAAGAUAUAAAAUAAUAAUAUAUCUAAAACUAAAAAUACUGCUAAUAGUAAUGUUUCUAAUAAUAGCAUUAUUAUUAAAUAAUAUUUUACAUUUUCUGUAAUUGAGUUUCAAUUAGAUAAUAAUGCAAUAGGCAUUAUUAUUGUUGUCAAUAAGACGAAAUACAUUGAUAUACCAUCUAUACCUAGGUAUAGGUCAAAGAAACUUAAAUCAUAAUGUUCUUGCACAAAUUGGUAUUGAUUACUUGAAAAAUCAAAUAAAGUAUACACAAUUAAAGAUAAAACAAGGUUUACUAAAGAAGUAGUUAAAGCAAUUUUUUUUAUAAAAACAUUUUCUUUAGAAGAGUCGUUAGAUACGCUGGUAAUAAUAAAUAUACCUAUCAAAGGUAUUAGCAAUAGACUAGAUAAUAACAUUAUACUAAUGUUAUUAAUUAAAAACAAUUUACUUUAUAAGCGAUAUAAAUCCUUUCAUCUUAACUCAAAGAGUAGAUAACUAAACUAAUAUUUAACUAGAAGAAUCACUGCCCCCAUAGGGCACUAUACGAUAUACAUAUCUAGUACACUCUACGCAGUGAUUAAUGGUUAGCCUCCAGGUAUAAGUUACCUAUCGUAAUCUAUUUUCUCUAACCUCCUAAAUCGUACUGAUUCCUCCUAAAGCGAUACUAAGUAAAAAGACUAAGUAAAAAGACUAAGUAAAAAAAUAAUUAAAAAAGGCAAAGAAGAAACUCUUUGUGCAUCAUGACAAACCUAAGGACUUAUAUCAUUAAAUGCAUUUCUUGAACCUAAGGCCACUAGUACCAAAGAUUGAGUACCUCUAAGAAUUUUUAUUUUAUUUUCAGUUAGUCUUAUUCUAUGAAACAAUAACCGGUCAGUAGGAUUCGCUUGACUUAUGUCAGCUGCACCAUGCUGAUUAAGUAAUUGUAAACUAUCAUUUGCUCGAUCCUGACUACCGACAUCAUUGAUAUAGACAAGUGCUUGAUCAACCUGCGCGAUAGUAUCGUUUAGGAAUUUAAAGGUCACAAGACAAUCUUUUAUGUUAACUCAAGACGAAAAAUCAAGCUUAACAUAAAGCAUAGUAAUGGUCAUACCUAACCUAUCGACACUCUCUGCACGCACUACAGAGAAAUCAGGCGCACUCAUUAAAAAAUCAAGUGGGAAAUGUAGUAAUAGAUCCCUCAUGGAGAUAUUUUUUAUAAAAUUCGUAUUUUGUAUUAAAAAGUGGUGAAAAAAGUUAACGAAUUUUUUGUUAAUGUAACCUAAUAAAUUAAGUUAUAAAAUUAUUAUCAUAUAAAGAUAAUAAUAUGCUAAUAGUGUAGAAUACAGUUAAAUUAGUGUAUAAUUACACUAUCACUAUUCUCGAGUAUGAUAGAUGGUCUAUUUAGUAUACUAUUAAGUGUAAUUAUUAACUAGGAUAGUUCUAGAUCUUUAGUUCCCCUCCUCAUAUGUACUGUAGCCUUGUGGCAGUAGGGCGGGCGGGUGUGUGAGCUAGAACAAUGGUAUAUUUACAGGUAAUAAGUUAAAACUAUAUAAAACACAAGGUACUAAUAUAAUAAUUGCAAAAUUAAUAGGUAAUAAAACUGUUCAACAGAAGCCCAUUAGUUGAUCAAAUCGUAUUCUAGGGAAGGAUGCUCUAGCUCAAAUAAAUGUGAAUAUCAUUAAAGAACUUUUUAAUCCUAGAUUAAACCCAUAUAAUAAUCCUUCAAUGAUAGAAUUAUUUAAAAAAUCAGUGUAUAAAGAUUGUACCUCUACAAAUGUUACUCAGUCUAUAAAGAAUAAUUCAAAGAAAAUAUAAUUUACCACAGUAAAAACAUAGGAUAUUUCAAAUAAUAAGUAACCACCAAUAAAUAAUAUACUAGUUAAAAUACACAUUAGUACAAUACUACCGUACUCAGCUAAAAAGAAGAAUACGAAAACUACGGCAGCAUGCUCUGUCAUGAACCCACUAACAAGUUCUGAUUCCCCUAAUAAGGGGAGAUGGGUUUAACCCAUGUGCUUUUAAGUCGAUUCACACCGAUGAUUGACUAUAUCUUAUUUAAUCAUAUAUAUAAAUAAAUAUAUAUAUAUAUUAAAUUGUCACGUUUAGUCUAUGAAGAGUUUAAUUAUCUAAUAUUUUUAAUUAGGUUAAAUUAAGUUUCCUGCUAAUUGUCUUUUGUUUUUAAAAUAAAAAGGUUUCCUAGCAAUUUGUGACAUAUAACCAGACCAAACCAGAUUAGCAGGUUAGCCUCGGCUAAAUCAAAAGGAGCUCUAUUUGUCUCAGCUAUAGAUCCUAUGAAAAAUAUUAUAAACACAGGAAAUAAAGGUAGUAUAAAUCAAAUAGCUCUUUGAGAUUCAGUACAAACAGUUAAAUUUAAAUUUCCUGUUAUCAUAAUUACUAUUAAUAUAGCUGAACUUAAUAUUAAUUCAUAACUAAUUAAUU